rnacentral:rRNA from 1 species
AGUUCUCGUUGAUGAUCGGUGCUUGCACUGAGAUUCAACAUGGAACGAGUGGCGGACGGGUGAGUAACACGUGGGUAACCUGCCCUUAAGUGGGGGAUAACAUUUGGAAACAGAUGCUAAUACCGCAUAGAUCCAAGAACCGCAUGGUUCUUGGCUGAAAGAUGGCGUAAGCUAUCGCUUUUGGAUGGACCCGCGGCGUAUUAGCUAGUUGGUGAGGUAAUGGCUCACCAAGGCGAUGAUACGUAGCCGAACUGAGAGGUUGAUCGGCCACAUUGGGACUGAGACACGGCCCAAACUCCUACGGGAGGCAGCAGUAGGGAAUCUUCCACAAUGGACGCAAGUCUGAUGGAGCAACGCCGCGUGAGUGAAGAAGGCUUUCGGGUCGUAAAACUCUGUUGUUGGAGAAGAAUGGUCGGCAGAGUAACUGUUGUCGGCGUGACGGUAUCCAACCAGAAAGCCACGGCUAACUACGUGCCAGCAGCCGCGGUAAUACGUAGGUGGCAAGCGUUAUCCGGAUUUAUUGGGCGUAAAGCGAGCGCAGGCGGUUUUUUAAGUCUGAUGUGAAAGCCCUCGGCUUAACCGAGGAAGCGCAUCGGAAACUGGGAAACUUGAGUGCAGAAGAGGACAGUGGAACUCCAUGUGUAGCGGUGAAAUGCGUAGAUAUAUGGAAGAACACCAGUGGCGAAGGCGGCUGUCUGGUCUGUAACUGACGCUGAGGCUCGAAAGCAUGGGUAGCGAACAGGAUUAGAUACCCUGGUAG